ACUCAAAUGAAUAGACGGGGGCCCGCACAAGCGGUGGAGCAUGUGGUUUAAUUCGACGCAACGCGAAGAACCUUACCUGGGCUCGAAAUGCUAUGGACACGCUGUGAAAGCAGUUCUUCCCGCAAGGGACCGUAGUAUAGGUGCUGCAUGGCUGUCGUCAGCUCGUGUCGUGAGAUGUUGGGUUAAGUCCCGCAACGAGCGCAACCCUUGUCCUGUGUUGCUACUAAUAGGCACUCUCAGGAGACCGCCAGCGAUAAGUUGGAGGAAGGUGGGGAUGACGUCAAGUCAUCAUGGCCUUUAUGUCCAGGGCUACACACGUGCUACAAUGGGCGGUACAAAGCGCUGCAAACCCGCGAGGGGGAGCUAAUCGCAGAAAACCGUCCUCAGUUCGGAUUGCAGGCUGCAACUCGCCUGCAUGAAGCUGGAAUCGCUAGUAAUGGCAUAUCAGAACGAUGCCGUGAAUACGUUCCCGGGCCUUGCACACACCGCCCGU
rnacentral:rRNA from 1 species